AAAAAUGACCAACCUCAGCCCGAAACCGCCUCCCAUCAGUCGGUUUAAUUCCCUAUAAAUUCCUACCACACCUCUCCUCUCUUUGUCAUGCCUCCGUACCUUUAAAGUCCCUUGGUCUAUUCUCUCCUCAACAAGCAGCUGUGAUGCAGUUCUCCCAUCUGAAUCUUCAAACGCGUUGGCUCGACAGCGACGCAGAUUUGUGUGAUGGGAGCUCGACGUUUCCUCGAAGGCGACGCAGAUUUGUAGGAUGGGAGCUCAGGUCAUGAGCUUUCUAUAUUUGUUGCAGAGUUUGCAGGCUGCUGGUCUGGAAGCGGUUGCUACAUCGGUUGGAGAAAACAAGCGAUUGAAACCGGGUGUUCCUGGUUCCAAAUCUGUGAUGCUUUCUGGUAAAUUUUGGGCAAGCAAGGUUCGAAGUUACCAGUUAAUUGGAGAUUCCAGAUUGUACCAGGAUGUAGAAAAAGGAAAAAAAUUGUGGUUCAGAAUCCUAUUGUCAAUCUGUUUUCAUCCUGACCUUUGCCAUGGCAGGUGCGCUUGCAUGGCAGGUCACUAUGAUUAAUGAAAGAUAAGAUUUUUGGGUUUGGAGGGAGGGGAGAUCGCACGGGGAACAUUUUAUCUUUCAGCCCGGGUUCUCCCCCCUUCCUCGUGUGUGUGUGUGUGUGCGCGUCUUCUCUCAAUUCUCUCAGCAAAUCUCCCAGUUUUGCAAGCGAACCAACUGUUGAUUUGUGUGCCCUUACAUAGACGGAGCGUUCUCAACUCAGGUACAAAUUAUACAGUUUCUGGCUUUUAAUUUGCACUAAUUCACGAUAAAGCAUAUAUUUGUAGCUAAUAUCACCACCUCCCAAGAGGCCCAUAAAAUAAUAAUGAACACCUAUAACGUGCUCACCUUGAAAAAACAGGCAUUAUUGGUAAUUCAAAACACUGUUAGAAGAAUUUAUACCAAUUGAUAGCCAUCAUAUUUUUUGAGGUGUAAUCCUUCUCUUCAAUAAGUAAUAAUUAAUGCAUCCAUUUUACAUAUUGCAGACCUGAUACAUGUUCAUAAUCUCAAAGUUCCAUAAUUUAAAAGGUUUCAGACCAAGCUUUCGUAUAAUGCUGAUUACAGUUGGCUUGUAUGCAUGUCACGAUGACUUGCUUCAAUCGCGUGUCCCAAAAUUCGCUUUUAACACUGCAUUUUGAAUUCAGAGGUGGAAUGUAAGUUUCUGUUUUUUUCUGGCCGACAAUUUAAUGGUGGUUGGGUUCUGGGUUUGAGCUUAGGUGUUUUCUUUGUAAUUUAUUUUCAAGUUUGUAUUACAUAUUUCCCUUUGUACAGUUUCAAUCUUGUAUUUGCUACCCUAGGAGCUAUGGUUUUUGUUGGCUCAACAACUUUCUUCUGGGUGGUGGAGUUUUGUUUUCUUGAUGGAUAGAUUGGGUACUUUCCACCCAUAUAUUUGUUCGAUACCUAAUAUUCUUGCAUCAGGAUGUAUAUGUGCUCUUUCUACUGGUGAUACCAGCAUCCAGGCACCGAGUUUCUUAAACUGGAAGCUUACUCUGAAUUGUUGAUGGAAGUGCUCAUCUGAUUCUUUUUUUCGGAUUCGAUCUUGAGCUAAAAUGCAGAGGACAAGAUUUGAGCAUCAUCUGGGACGAAGGUUUCACACCUUGUCCCUUUUGGAUUGGAAGUUUGUUGAUGUAACCUUGGCUCAUUCUGGCCACCCCAUUUGAUUGGGAAGUUUCACUCAGCUCAUCUGGCUGAGCCCUUCAAAAUGCGUGGCCCUAGGCAAGGAGAGCAAAAUGCUUACCUCUAGGCAAGGAGGUGCAAUGAGUAUUGAUUAUUGAAGCCAACAGUUGUUUAGUAUUUUAUCUCUUAGUGCUUGAUGGAACUUGGAAGCCAACCUUUGUACUACGCGCUGGUUGUAUGUCAUCCAACUCAUUUUUUUGAACUGAGCUAGCAGCAUGAAGACGGAAUUGUUUUAAGGUGAUCUCUUAACAAAUGCUAUCUAGUAUUUUGCAUUUUUUGCAUC